UCUCCAGGAUGUUCCAAUAGAGAUCCUGCUGACCUUUCUCUAUGUAUUUAGAAAGGGACUGAGGAGAGUCUGUUAUUGAGAGA